rnacentral:rRNA from 1 species
UACAGAGGUCUCAAGCGUUGUUCGGAUUCAUUGGGCGUAAAGGGUGUGUAGGUGGCGCCGUAAGUCGGGUGUGAAAUUUCGGAGCUUAACUCCGAAACUGCAUUCGAUACUGCGGUGCUUGAGGACUGGAGAGGAGACUGGAAUUCAUGGUGUAGCAGUGAAAUGCGUAGAGAUCAGGAGGAAUACCGGUGGCGAAAGCGACUCUCUGGACGGCAACUGACGCUGAGGCACGAAAGCGUGGGGAGCAAACAGG